UUCAUGAAGAGUUGUCUUGUGUUUGAUCAAGGCUGAUGGAAUUGGUGUUUGAUCCAAUUGACUCUUUGCGGUGUGAAGCCCAAGAGGUUCUUUUCAAGUGUUCUUUUUUCUUCUUCUUAUUGUUACUAUUCUUCUUCAGCCAUCUCAACUACAGAAAUUCUGAAACACUGAGAUCGAUGGACUGCUGAUUUAUUAUUGUUUUUUGCUGAUUUAUUAUUGCUGGUAUAUUGGGUUCUUGGUUGUUCUUUGGUUUAC